CUACGGGAGGCUGCAGUGGGGAAUAUUGCACAAUGGGCGCAAGCCUGAUGCAGCCAUGCCGCGUGUAUGAAGAAGGCCUUCGGAUUGUAAAGUACUUUCAGCGGGGAGGAAGGGAGUAAAGUUAAUACCUUUGCUCAUUGACGUUACCCGCAGAAGAAGCACCGGCUAAAGCCGUGCCAGCAGCCGCGGUAAUACGGAGGGUGCAAGCGUUAAUCGGAAUUACUGGGCGUAAAGCGCACGCAGGCGGUUUGUUAAGUCAGAUGUGAAAUCCCCGGGCUCAACCUGGGAACUGCAUCUGAUACUGGCAAGCUUGAGUCUCGUAGAGGGGGGUAGAAUUCCAGGUGUAGCGGUGAAAUGCGUAGAGAUCUGGAGGAAUACCGGUGGCGAAGGCGGCCCCCUGGACGAAGACUGACGCUCAGGUGCGAAAGCGUGGGGAGCAAACAGGAUUAGAUACCCUCGUAGUC
rnacentral:rRNA from 1 species